UACGUAGGGUCCGAGCGUUGACCGGAAUUACUGGGCGUAAAGAGCUCGUAGGUGGUUUGUCGCGUUGUUCGUGAAAACUCACAGCUCAACUGUGGGCGUGCGGGCGAUACGGGCAGACUAGAGUACUGCAGGGGAGACUGGAAUUCCUGGUGUAGCGGUGGAAUGCGCAGAUAUCAGGAGGAACACCGGUGGCGAAGGCGGGUCUCUGGGCAGUAACUGAGGCUGAGGAGCGAAAGCGUGGGGAGAGAACAGG
rnacentral:rRNA from 1 species